GCGCCGAUCGGAGACGAUUGCUGAAGCCAACAGCAGUGCCCACAAAGUUCGACUGCAGCGAAACUGAACGACAAGGACGACGUCAAAAGAAGCGAUCCAACCAAGAAAACGAGGACCCGACUUCUAGAGCUGGAUCUGAAGUUCGUUCCCCCGAGUUCCCUCACAUGCUGUCACCAGCUGGCGUGCAAGGAGUCAGAGCACCAAGACCAGCCACAAGUUUCUUCUCGGAUGCAACAAAUAGGGUGGGCUUUGUUCCAAGUGC